rnacentral:rRNA from 1 species
UUUGGUGGCGAUAGCGAAGAGGUCACACCCGUUCCCAUACCGAACACGGAAGUUAAGCUCUUCAGCGCCGAUGGUAGUUGGGGGGUCUCCCCCUGUGAGAGUAGGACGCCGCCAAGC